AUCCGUGACUAUAGCAAAGGAGCCACACCUGUUCCCAUCCCGAACACAGCAGUUAAGUCCUUUUGCGCUGAUGGUACUUGGCGGGAGACUGCCCGGAAGAGUAGGUCGUUGCGGGUU
rnacentral:rRNA from 1 species